rnacentral:rRNA from 1 species
UACGUAGGGCGCAAGCGUUGUCCGGAAUUAUUGGGCGUAAAGAGCUCGUAGGCGGCUUGUCACGUCGGGUGUGAAAGCCCGGGGCUUAACCCCGAGUCUGCAUUCGAUACGGGCAGGCUAGAGUGUGGUAGGGGAGAUCGGAAUUCCUGGUGUAGCGGUGAAAUGCGCAGAUAUCAGGAGGAACACCGGUGGCGAAGGCGGAUCUCUGGGCCAUUACUGACGCUGAGGAGCGAAAGCGUGGGGAGCGAACAGG